GUCAAAAGAGUCGUCUGUCUCAAGAAUCAGUUAAUUAGAUGCUUGAGACCGUGAUUUUCCUUAAUCGAGUUCUACUUGUUUGUUAGUUCUAAGAAGUUAUCGAGUCAAGGGGAUGUUUUUGUCGUUUUCAAAGAAAUUGUGAGUCCCUUUGGGUUUUCCCGUGCUCUUAUGAGCCGUCUAAAGGGCUUCAAUCUCAUUGUGCUUAGUCUUCGAGUGUUUGUUGCCUAUGAAAGGGCUAGAAAACGAUCGAGUGUCAUUUUAGUUCCAAUCAUGCAUCUUUUUUUGAACUAUGUU
rnacentral:misc_RNA from 1 species